AAUAGAUACCCGGGUAGUCCACGCCGUAAACGUUGGGCACUAGGUGUGGGGUCUAUUCAACGGACUCCGUGCCGUCGCUAACGCAUUAAGUGCCCCGCCUGGGGAGUACGGCCGCAAGGCUAAAACUCAAAGGAAUUGACGGGGGCCCGCACAAGCAGCGGAGCAUGUUGCUUAAUUCGAGGCAACGCGAAGAACCUUACCUGGGUUUGACAUGUAGGGAAAAGCCAUAGAGAUAUGGUGUCCUUAGGGGUCCUACACAGGUGGUGCAUGGUUGUCGUCAGCUCGUGUCGUGAGAUGUUGGGUUAAGUCCCGCAACGAGCGCAACCCUUGUCCUAUGUUGCCAGCACGUUAUGGUGGGGACUCGUAGGAGACUGCCGGGGUCAACUCGGAGGAAGGUGGGGACGACGUCAAAUCAUCAUGCCCCUUAUAUCCAGGGCUGCAAACAUGCUACAAUGGCCGGUACAAAGGGCUGCUAAACCGUGAGGUGGAGCGAAUCCCAUAAAGCCGGUCUCAGUUCGGAUUGGAGUCUGCAACUCGACUCCA
rnacentral:rRNA from 1 species